rnacentral:rRNA from 1 species
CUGGCGGCGUGCCUAUACAUGCAAGUCGAGCGGACCGACGGGAGCUUGCUCCCUUAGGUCAGCGGCGGACGGGUGAGUAACACGUGGGUAACCUGCCUGUAAGACUGGGAUAACUCCGGGAAACCGGGGCUAAUACCGGAUGCUUGAUUGAACCGCAUGGUUCAAUUAUAAAAGGUGGCUUUUAGCUACCACUUACAGAUGGACCCGCGGCGCAUUAGCUAGUUGGUGAGGUAACGGCUCACCAAGGCAACAAUGCGUAGCCAACCUGAGAGGGUGAUCGGCCACACUGGGACUGAAACACGGCCCAAACUCCUACGGGAGGCAGCAGUAGGGAAUCUUCCGCAAUGGACAAAAGUCUGACGGAGCAACGCCGCGUGAGUGAUGAAGGUUUUCGGAUCGUAAAACUCUGUUGUUAGGGAAAAACAAGUACCGUUCGAAUAGGGCGGCACCUUGACGGUACCUAACCAAAAAGCCACGGCUAACUACGUGCCACCAGCCGCGGUAAUACGUAGGUGGCAAGCGUUGUCCGGAAUUAUUGGGCGUAAAGCGCGCGCAGGCGGUUUCUUAAGUCUGAUGUGAAAGCCCCCGGCUCAACCGGGGAGGGUCAUUGGAAACUGGGGAACUUGAGUGCAGAAAAGGAGAGU